CCUACGGGGAGCAGCAGUGGGGAAUAUUGCACAAUGGGGGAAACCCUGAUGCAGCAACGCCGCGUGGGUGAAGGAGCGUUUCGGCGCGUAAAGCCCUGUCAGCGGGGAAGAAGAAUGACGGUACCUGACUCAGAAGCCCCGGCUAACUACGUGCCAGCAGCCGCGGUAAUACGUAGGGGGCAAGCGUUAUCCCGAUUUACUGGGUGUAAAGGGAGCGUAGACGGGGAUGCAAGUCUGAAGUGAAAGGCGGGGGCCCAACCUCCGGACUGCUUUGGAAACUGGAUGGCUGGAGUGCAGGAGAGGUAAGUGGAAUUCCUAGUGGAGCGGUGAAAUGCGUAGAUAUUAGGAGGAACACCAGUGGCGAAGGCGGCUUACUGGACUGUAACUGACGUUGAGGCUCGAAAGCGUGGGGAGCAAACAGGAUUAGAUACCCCGGGAAGUC
rnacentral:rRNA from 1 species